rnacentral:tRNA from 1 species
CGGGGUGUAGUUCAGAUGGCUAGAAUGCGCGGCUGGGGGUCGCGAGAUCGCAGGUUCGAGUCCUGUCACCCCGACCA